rfam:Oryza sativa (indica cultivar-group) chromosome 1, whole genome shotgun sequence.
AAAAAGACAAACCCUAGGUUUCCGUACUCAACGUUUGACUGUUCGUCUUAUAUGAAAUUUUUUUAUAAUUAGUAUUUUUAUUGUUGUUAGAUGAUAAAACAUGAUUAAUAUUUUAUGCGUGACUUAUCUUUUUAAUUUAAUUUUAUAAUUUUUUUAAAUAAAACGGACGGUCAAAUGUUGGACAUGGAAACCAGGGUUUGUCUUUUU